GCAAACUUGGUCAUUUAGAGGAAGUAAAAGUCGUAACAAGGUUUCCGUAGGUGAACCUGCGGAAGGAUCAUUCACAAAUUCAAAAACUAAUGUGUGUAUUGGCACUUUUAAAACCAAUGCAUGCUGGAUAUAUAUCCAUAUCCAACCUUGUGUGCAAUGUUUGGAAUUUCUUUGGAUCUCGAACAUCAUGCUCUCCUUCUCUGAGGGAGUGCUUGUUAUGAGGGCGAAAAAGGAUUCUUUUUAAACGAUCAACCUUUUUUUGAACUAGUUUGUCUGAAUGUGUAAUGUACUCAUGAAUUUUUAAAGAAUUCAAAAAUACAACUUUCAACAACGGAUCUCUUGGCUCUCGCAUCGAUGAAGAACGCAGC
rnacentral:misc_RNA from 1 species